AUUGAACGCUGGCGGCAGGCCUAACACAUGCAAGUCGAGCGGAUGAAGGGAGCUUGCUCCUGGAUUCAGCGGCGGACGGGUGAGUAAUGCCUAGGAAUCUGCCUGGUAGUGGGGGAUAACGUCCGGAAACGGGCGCUAAUACCGCAUACGUCCUGAGGGAGAAAGUGGGGGAUCUUCGGACCUCACGCUAUCAGAUGAGCCUAGGUCGGAUUAGCUAGUUGGUGGGGUAAAGGCCUACCAAGGCGACGAUCCGUAACUGGUCUGAGAGGAUGAUCAGUCACAAGGGAACUGAGACACGGUCCAGACUCCUACGGGAGGCAGCAGUGGGGAAUAUUGGACAAUGGGCGAAAGCCUGAUCCAGCAAUGCCGCGUGUGUGAAGAAGGUCUUCGGAUUGUAAAGCACUUUAAGUUGGGAGGAAGGGCAGUAAGUUAAUACCUUGCUGUUUUGACGUUACCAACAGAAUAAGCACCGGCUAACUUCGUG
rnacentral:rRNA from 1 species